GGGUGUGUAGUAAAGCCCGGACAAUGCGCCCGCCUGCGGAGUGGGAGAUCGGCGGUUCGAAUCCGCCCACACCCGCCA
rnacentral:tRNA from 1 species